GUGUCCUGCUCUCUUUGGCUAACCGUGGACUCCUGGAGUUUCGGUCUCCCACGCAGGGCGCGGAUGGAGGGACAGGAAGUGAGUUGCUGGGUGCGCGUGCGCUCUGAGGAUCCGGACGAUGCUGGCCAGGCCCCGGCGGGCGCACAGUGGCCCCAGGGGCAGCUGGUUCUCCAGGCCUUGGCGGGCUCAGGUUCUGGGUUGGCUUCCGUGGUAACUGAGUCCACCUCCCCAGCUCUGGCGCCAUCCUUAAAGGCGGAGAGAAAGCAGGCAGGCUGGCGUCAGAUUGCACAGCCCCGCCGGAGGACCCUGGCUGGCUGCGUUCAGGGACUGUCUUCUUAACGGCUGGGGGCCGGUGCUGUGGUGUAGUGGGUAAAGUCGCCGUCUGCAGUGCCAGCAUCCCAUAUGAGCGCCAGUUCAAGUCCCAGCUGCUCCACUUCCGAUCCAGCUCUCUGCUGUGGCCUGGGAAAGCAGUAGAAGAUAGCCCAAGUCCUUGGGUCCCUGCACCCACAUGGGAGACCCAGAAGAAGCUCCUGGUUCCUGGCUUCGGAUCGUCUCAGCUCCAGGCCAUUGUGGCCAAUUGGGGAGUGAACCAGUGGAUGGAAGAUUCUCUCUCUCUCUCUCUCUCUGCCUCUGCCUCUCUGUAACUCUGCCUUUAAAAUAAAUAAAUAAAUCUUUUAACAAA